CCCUUAGAUGCUCUGGGCCGCACGCGCGCUACACUGAUGCAUUCAACGAGUCUAAAACCUGGUCUGAUAGGGCUGGGUAAUCUUUUGAAUGUGCAUCGUGAUUGGGAUAGAUGAUUGCAAUUUUUCAUCUUCAACGAGGAAUGCCUAGUAAACGCAAGUCAUCAGCUUGCAUUGAUUACGUCCCUGCCCUUUGUACACACCGCCCGUCGCUCCUACCGAUUGAAUGAUCCGAUGAAUAUCAUGGAUUGAGGAUGCAAGUAGGUUAGCCUAUCUUCAUCUUCGAGAAGUGAAGUAAAUCUUAUCAUUUAGAGGAAGGAGAAGUCGUAACA
rnacentral:rRNA from 1 species